rnacentral:rRNA from 1 species
UACAGAGGUCCCAAGCGUUGUUCGGAUUCACUGGGCGUAAAGGGUGCGUAGGCGGUCGGGUAAGUCUGACGUGAAAUCUUCAAGCUUAACUUGGAAACUGCGUCGGAUACUAUUCGGCUGGAGGAAUGGAGGGGAGACUGGAAUACUUGGUGUAGCAGUGAAAUGCGUAGAUAUCAAGUGGAACACCAGUGGCGAAGGCGAGUCUCGGGACAUUUCCUGACGCUGAGGCACGAAAGCCAGGGGAGCAAACGGG